UCGCACUGCCAAGUGACUGGGUUUCCUUCAUCAUGGUCUUCCAUUCUCAUUCCAGUGCCAGAGUGACCUCAGUUUGCAGAAGGGAUGAGCUAGACUACUGGUUCCCCCCUUUCGAAGACCGAGAACAAAU